rnacentral:rRNA from 1 species
AGAACGAACGCUGGCGGCAGGCUUAACACAUGCAAGUCGAACGCUCGUAGCAAUACGGGAGUGGCAGACGGGUGAGUAACGCGUGGGAACAUACCCUCCGGUUCGGAAUAGCUCAGGGAAACUUGGAUUAAUACCGGAUACGGCUGAGAGGCGAAAGAUUUAUCGCCGGAGGAUUGGCCCGCGUUCGAUUAGCUUGUUGGUGAGGUAACGGCUCACCAAGGCUAUGAUCGAUAGCUGGUCUGAGAGGAUGAUCAGCCACAUUGGGACUGAGACACGGCCCAAACUCCUACGGGAGGCAGCAGUGGGAAUAUUGGACAAUGGGCGCAAGCCUGAUCCAGCCAUGCCGCGUGAGUGAUGACGGCCUUAGGGUUGUAAAGCUCUUUCGCUCGGGACGAUAAUGACGGUACCGAGAUAAGAAGCCCCGGCUAACUUCGUGCCAGCAGCCGC